rnacentral:rRNA from 1 species
CAAUAGCGUAUAUUAAAGUUGUUGCAGUUAGAACGCUCGUAGUCGGAUUUCGGGGCGGGCGGGCCGGUCUGCCGAUGGGCAUGCACUGGUCUGGCCGUCCUUCCUUCCGGAGACCGUGCGUGCUCUUAACUGAGUGCGCUCGGGAGACGGAUCGUUUACUUUGAAAAAAUCAGAGUGUUUCAAGCAGGCAGCUCGCUCUUGCAUGGAUUAGCAUGGGAUAAUGAAAUAGGACUUUGGUGCUAUUUUGUUGGUUUCGAACACCGAAGUAAUGAUUAACAGGGACAGUCAGGGGCACUCGUAUUCCGCCGAGAGAGGUGAAAUUCUCAGACCAGCGGAAGACGAACCACUGCGAAAGCAUUUGCCAGGGAUGUUUUCACUG